rnacentral:rRNA from 1 species
AUUGAACGCUGGCGGCAGGCCUAACACAUGCAAGUCGAACGAGUGGCGGACGGGUGAGUAAUGUCUGGGAAACUGCCCGCUGGAGGGGGAUAACUAAUGGAAACGGUAGCUAAUUACGCAUACCCUCGGAUGUGCCCAGAUGGGAUUGGCUUGUAGGUGAGGUAACGGCUCACCUAGGCGACGAUCCCUAGCUGGUCUGAGAGGAUGACCAGCCCCACUGGAACUGAGACACGGUCCAGACUCGUCCAACACUCCUACUUAUCUAAUAUUGCACAAUGAGCGCAAGCCUGAUUCAGCCAUGCCGCGUGUAUGAAGAACACCUUCGGGUUAUAAAGUACUUUCAGCGGGGAGGCGUUACCCGCAGAAGAAGCACCGGCUAACUCCGUGCCAGCAGCCGCGGUAAUUC